rnacentral:lncRNA from 1 species
CAAACCAGAAGCUAGCUUUAUUCCCAUUCCCCAGAGCACAUCUAAUGAAGUUCUUGGCAAGCUCCCGCAGUUUGAGUAGAGCUUUCCAGGUCCAUGAUGCUGUCAUGUUUUCAUCUAAACACCAGAAAGAGGAACCUUGUUUGAGAUUAGUUUUAACCCAUAGUGCUCAAAGCGACUCCGAGUCGCAGAAGAGGAGCCAGAUGAGUUUAAGACAAAGAGUUUUGUUCCAGAAGCAAAG